rnacentral:rRNA from 1 species
UGGGUGAGUAACGCGUGGGUAACCUGCCCUUAAGUCUGGGAUACCAUUUGGAAACAGAUGCUAAUACCGGAUAAAAGCUACUUUCGCAUGAAAGAAGUUUAAAAGGCGGCGUAAGCUGUCGCUAAAGGAUGGACCUGCGAUGCAUUAGCUAGUUGGUAAGGUAACGGCUUACCAAGGCGAUGAUGCAUAGCCGAGUUGAGGGACUGAUCGGCCACAUUGGGACUGAGACACGGCCCAAACUCCUACGGGAGGCAGCAGAA